UUGUACUGACACAGUAGCGAUACGGGCUGAGUAGACAUGGAGGCCCAAUUAACGAGGGAGGCCCGUGCUGACACAUCCAGGCCUAGCUAACGGCGUGUCGGACCAGAUUUUGGAGCAUCUCGGGAGGGAGUACGGAUACCAGUUGCUGACUUGAAAGACAAAAUAUGUGGCCACCACGUUGAUACACACGAAGGGAGGACACAGAGCCAAAUAAUGUGAACACCGUUUCUGGACAUUUACAGAGUUGAAGGACGGAGAAAGAGGGCUGGACUGCCAAGGAAGGGAGAGAAGCCAACACAAAACAAGGAGAGCUUCACCCUCACCG